CGUAGGGUGCGAGCGUUAAUCGGAAUUACUGGGCGUAAAGUGUGCGCAGGUGGCCGCGCAAGUCGAGUGUGAAAUCCCCGAGCUUAACUUGGGAAUUGCGCUCGAAACUACGUGGCUCGAGUGUGGCAGAGGAAGGUGGAAUUCCACGUGUAGCGGUGAAAUGCGUAGAGAUGUGGAGGAACACCGAUGGCGAAGGCAGCCUUCUGGGCCAACACUGACGCUCAUGCACGAAAGCGUGGGGAGCAAACAGGAUUAGAUACCCUGGUAGUCCACGCCCUAAACGAUGAUGACUAGUUGUUGGGGGAGUUAAAUCCCUUAGUAACGCAGCUAACGCGUGAAGUCAUCCGCCUGGGGAGUACGGUCGCAAGAUUA
rnacentral:rRNA from 1 species